rnacentral:lncRNA from 1 species
CACAAAUACAGCACUGUCUCCUCCCUACCUAGGUCUUGGAUCACGAAGCAUGGCAGCAUUUAUGUUCCAGGAUAGUACUUGAAGAACACGCUUCACAGGGACACAGCCUGAAGCACACACUUACUGCAUCUUUCUGCUGUGGCCGAAGCCAGAUGGUACAGCCCAGUACUUUCCUCCAUACAAAAUGUAUGCCAAGAAGACAGACAUCUUCCUUGAGGUUUAU